rnacentral:rRNA from 1 species
UACGGAGGGUGCAAGCGUUAAUCGGAAUUACUGGGCGUAAAGCGCACGCAGGUGGCUGAGUCAGUCGAUUGUGAAAGCCCUGGGCUUAACCUAGGAAUUGCAGUCGAUACUACUCAGCUAGAGUAUGGGAGAGGGCAGUGGAAUUCCCGGUGUAGCGGUGAAAUGCGUAGAUAUCGGGAGGAACAUCAGUGGCGAAGGCGGCUGCCUGGCCCAAUACUGACACUCAGGUGCGACAGCGUGGGGAGCAAACAGG